GGAGUACUUGCACCUCCUUCACCUGAGGUUUUCUGCAGGACUUCAUCUCCACAGUCCAGCUCUGGCCUUUCUCCCAUCCCUGUCUGGUAGAUUCUACUGUCCAGUGGGCUGGGCCCCUUGGUGCCACAGAAGACAAGAACAAAGUUCAGCCAGCCUGUAGGCUCCAGGUGGGAAGCACAGAUUCGCUGAAGGAGCCGCCAGCACGUUGCCUCAGGUACUGCUCGCACUGUGGCAUCUUUGAAAAGCAGGUCUUGGCUGUGGUAUUUGGAGGAGUCAAACAUUUGGAACCCAUUCUGGUUGCGGUCAUCUCCAAACAGGUCCUAGAAACACCGAAAGCAACCACUAUGUCUGGGCUUACAGACAAUCCCGGGGGUCCCAAAGAGCAAGCACUUCAGGUCGCCAAGUCUUUCUGUUGAAACCAUCUACUUCACUACUGAUGAGCCUCUGUCAUGAAAGAAGUCUGGGGAAAGAUUUGCAUAGAGGUGCCAUCCAAAGACAGUCAGAAAUGUCACACCAGACUGGUUCUUGAAUGCAAAACUGAAGUGUGAGGUUUAUAGCAAGAAGGCCCCAGAAAUGAGAGAGGGUGCAGAUGCAAUGACUAAGGGCUUGGCUGGGCCUGCUCAACGUUUCUCAAUCUUUUUGGCAAUGAUUUCUUACGGGCAUCCUUUCCAAUGAGCCCAGACAGUCUCACAGAUAGGGGCUCCUGUUCUGUCACCAGGACUGAGAAAAAUACGGAGGGAGUUGAUGAUGUCAUCACCAAACCUCAUCAGGGUCCCAGGGCUGAUCCUGCUACUUGCUUCCCUGAUGGGAACCCUUGGCCUGAAUGAGAGUCGGCCAGCCCUAGUGAGCUAGAGGAAGGCGAGACACAAUGCCAGAAGCUGGUGAUGUAGCCCUAUAAGCCUAGAACUGAGGAGGCUGAGGCAGGAUUGGGAGUUUGAGCACAGCUUGGGAUACAAAUACAAAU